GACGAACGCUGGCGGCGUGCUUAACACAUGCAAGUCGAACGGAAGGGCCCUGCUUUUGUGGGGUGCUCGAGUGGCGAACGGGUGAGUAACACGUUAGUAACCUGCCCUUGACUUUGGGAUAACUUCAGGAAACUGGGGCUAAUACCGGAUAGGAGCUCCUGCUGCAUGGUGGUGGAUGGAAAGUUUCGGCGGUUGGGGAUGGACUCGCGGCUUAUGAGCUUGUUUGUGGGGUAGUGGCUUACCAAGGCUUUGACGGAUAGCCGGCAUGAGAGGGUGACCGGGCACAUUGGGACUGCGAUACGGAGCAGACGGCAACGUGAGGCAGCAGUGGGGAACAUUGCACAAUGGGCGGAAGCGUGAGGCAGAAAUGCCGCGUGCGGGAUGCCCGCCUUCGGGUUAUAAACCGCUUUCGCCUGUGACGAAGCGUGAGUGACGGUAAUGGGUAAAGAAGCACCGGCUAACUACGUG
rnacentral:rRNA from 1 species